rnacentral:lncRNA from 10 species
GGAGUCUUCUUCAACUCCUGUCAGUAUUUAGGCACAUUUCCUUUUUUUCAUUCUCUCUGUCUUUUUUUAGUUGUUUUUUUUUUUAAUUGAGAUGUAAUAUACCAUAAUAUUCACACUUUUAGGGUAAAAUUCAGUGGUUUUUGUAUAUAUUCACAAGUUUGUAUAACCAUCACCACUAUCCAAUUCCAGAACAUUUUCAUCACCUCCCAAAGAACUCUGUACCAAUUAGCAGUCACUCCCCAUUUCCCACUCCCAUCAACCCUUGGCAACCACUAAUUUACCUUCUGUCUCUAUCAAUUUGCCUACUCUGAACAUUUAAUGCAAGUGGAAUCAUAUAAUAUGCAGCCUUCUGUUAACAGAAUUAUGUUAAUUAUGUUAAAUUAACAUAAUUAACAUUAUGUUAAUUUACUUAACAUAAUGUUUUCAAGGUUCAUUAUGUUGUAGCAUGAAUCAGUACUUCAUCCCAUUUUAUGCCUAUGUACUAUUCCAUUGUAUGUAUAGACUGAAUUUUAAAAAAAUACAUGUAUUCAUUGAUAGAUUUUUUUUUUCACUCUUUUUGGCUAUUUUGAAUAAUGCUGCUACAAACAUUUAUGCAUAAGUUUUUUGUGUGGACAUUUUCAGUUACUUUGGGUGUAUACCCAGGAGGGGACUUACUGGGUCAUAUGUUAACUCUCGGUUUAACUUUUAAAGGAACUGCCAAACUGUUUUUCAAAGUGACGGCCCCACUUUCCAUUCCCACCAGCGAUGUAUGAAGUUUCCAGUUUCUCCACACUCCUGUCCACACUUAUUAUCCUUCCUUUUGAGUAUAGCCAUCUUAAUGGGUGUGAAGUGUAUCAUUGUAGUUUUGACUGAUGACUGAUGAUGCUGAACAUCUUUUCAUGUGUUUAGUGGCCACUUGAAUAUCUUCUUUGGACAAAUGCCUAUUCAAACAAAUCCAUUGCCCAUUUAAAAAUGGGUGAUUCACCUGUUUGUUGUUGAGUUGUAAUAGUUCUUUAUAUAUCCUGGCUAUUAGGACCUGAUCAGAUAAAUGAUUUGAAAAUAUUUGCUCCAUUCAGUGGGUUUCUU